CGCACGGGUGAGUAACGCGUAUGCAACCUGCCCGUUUCAGCGGGAUAACCCGGAGAAAUCCGGCCUAAUACUGCAUGUGGCCGAGGGGAGGCAUCUUCUUUCGGCCAAAGGAGGCAACUCCGGAGACGGAUGGGCAUGCGUGACAUUAGCUUGUUGGCGGGGUAACGGCCCACCAAGGCGACGAUGUCUAGGGGUUCUGAGAGGAAGGUCCCCCACACUGGUACUGAGACACGGACCAGACUCCUACGGGAGGCAGCAG
rnacentral:rRNA from 1 species